AAUUCUGCUCUCAGUGUUCCUAAGCAGACCUUCAGAUGGCACUUAACAAGUCUAAUGGAUCUGAGGAGAUGGUGCUCCAGUGUUAGCUGAGCUUCUUUUCAGUCCAGUCGGGUCUGAGCACAGUGAAUUCCUUUCCUUGCUAUUUUUUUCAAUGGGGAAAAGCCAAGAGUCAGCAAUAUGCAAGGUGCCUGCAAUAGGAAGCUGGUCCCAGGAAACCAGAACAGAAUCUCUGCCCACCCAGCAGGGCUGGGGUUUUCUUCUUUGUUCAACUACUUUUGAAAAUAAACCCUCAGUAUAAGGAUGCCAGAAAGCACAGUAAAACCUGCAGCCUCUUGUAGACCCAGAGCAGACACUUCUGGCUGAAGUAGGAGCUAGGAAUUUUGCAGAAAGAGAGAGAAAGACCAGCAUGAAAAAAACAGAAGAAAAAGAGAAAAAGGGUUGGGGAAACUACAGUGAAAGAGGUAAGUUGAAGACAGAGUCACAAUGAAAUUAAAGUUGGCAUUAGAAAUACAUAAUGG